AUAGCUCUAUUGUGAGUAUAUUCUGCCAAGUCACAAGAAACACGCGCUAAGAUCUUUCGAUCAAUGUAUUAAGGGUGAGCAUCGGCAAGCUGUGCCCUGUCAAUCAAUUUAAGCCACUAGCAUGCUAACUUCUAAGACCAGCAGUGUUGAUCCAUCAUUAUCUGUCUCAUUGCUCGAAUAGACGCAACCAUUUUAUAAUUUGGCUGCUCUGCAUAAAUGCUGUUAGUCCAAUUUAUCUCUUGCGAGCUUGGACUGAAUUCACACAGCGACACCUCGAUCUAAUAUCAACCUUGUGUUUUGACAUUGCUGUGUGGCUGGCUGCAUGGCUUAGUUGUCCAUAGAGAAGCGUGACUGUUAAUGAGAGCGAGAUCUUUUUUUAAAAAAAAUUGGAUUGAAAAAAGAGAUGCCUAAUUUUUAAAAACAAGGAUAUCGUAAAUCACAUUUUCAAAUAAAUCACUAACUCAUGUUUUUUCUUCGUGAUAUUAUGAUUAGAGGUGCUAGCAAAUCGUGUUCUAGUCAGGUUUGGUCAUACUCAUAUCUCGAUCCAAAAUGUGCAAGCUCGAACCCAAUUAACACUCCACACCAUGCCGAACAUAUGGGGCUUACCAUCCAUAGCAAGUCCACUGAAACUAGGACAAAGUUUGAAACCGGAUCAGAGUUGUCAUUGAUCAAAGAUGCUCUCCUCCCUCAUCCAAUCUUAACGGUAGGGAAGGGAGAGAAACUGCGAAAUUUAGCCACUGAAGUAAUGUCCAUUUCGUGAUGAGGGUGGUGUUGUUGCUGCCAUAGUGCAGCCAUUUUGGAUUCUGAUGCUUUUUUUUAUUAUUAUUAUAAAUCUUAUUCGGAGGGGGAAAGAGGUACAUCGGCUUAGUUUUCUAAGAUCAACAAAACAAAGUCCUUCAUGUUUAAAAGAGGCUGGUAUAGUAGAAAGUGUUGGCUUGGAAAUUUUUGUGAAAUUACUUAGAACUUUUAGGCAAUGAAUGCUCCUACUUGUAGAUCUGGAUGAGGUUUUUUUCUUCAUUGUUUUUUCUUACGAGCAUCAACAUUUUCGAUCCUAAUCAUCAGACAUUUGGUUUGGAGCCACUUAGCUUUUUUUUUUCUCGCAUUUGUUUCUCUUCCCUCUGAACAAUGUAACUCCUUUUUAUCUCUCAUUUCUAUUGUAAAUAUAAUUAAUCUUCAAUAAAAGCUUAUCCGUUAAAAUAUUAUUUUUUUUAUUUUGUGGUACAAUUUUGAAUGUUAGAUUUGGUCAAAUGUUCGAGAUAUGGACGAGAGAAUGUGGUCCGGAGAAACGACGGGGACUCCCGACAAGGAGCCGUACGGGAAACAAUCAUUCAUUUUGAUUUUUUUUGUUCUUUUUUCCGAUGGAAAAGGCGACAGAGAAGCCACCCAAAUUUUAUUAUAGAUUUGAUUUUUCUAAACACGGCAAAAUAGAGAGAAGCUGGGUGCCCUUCAGAUUUUGGGUGGGACCCCAACAAAGUAAGGGCACGCUUCUCACGUUUAAUUUUCCUCCUCCGCAGACCUUAUCAUCCGCGAUAAGCAUCCUUCCCAACUUGCGUGGCGGAGAGCAGUUCACAUACAAAUAAUAGGGAAGAGAGAGAAGGGGGGUUUUGUUUGACUUGCCUCUGUUAAUUUGCUACCGACGAAUUGAUGAUUCCUCCGGUUUCAACAUCCGCUUUCUAUGCCAUCUGCAGCGAGGCUGCUGGAGUUGCUGAUUCUCUUCUUCUAGAGAAAAAUGGUGGCACCAACUCUUCAAUCGUGACAUUUAAAGGUAAUCUUUUUGCGUUAGGGUUGUUCAUCUCACCGAUACCAACCUUCAAAAGGAUCGCCAAGAAUCGAUCCACCGAGCAGUUCUCAGGGCUGCCGUACGUAUAUUCCCUCCUCAAUUGCUUGAUCUGCUUCUGGUACGGACUACCCUGUGUCGCCCACGGCGUCAUCUUGAUUGCUACCGUCAAUUCCAUUGGGGCUAUCUUCCAGUUGGUGUAUGUUGUUCUCUUUAUUAAAUAUGCCGACAAGACAAACAAGCUGAAGAUGGCUGGACUUCUGAUAUUGGUCUUCUGUGCCUUCGUUCUUAUCAUAUGUGUUAGCCUCGAGUUGUUUGACAACGGGAGACGGCAGAUGUUUGUUGGAUAUCUGAACGUCGCCUCUCUCAUUUCCAUGUUUGCAUCCCCAUUAUUCAUCAUUAAUUUGGUGAUCCGGACGAGGAGCGUCGAGUUCAUGCCUUUCUAUCUUUCUCUAUCGACCUUCCUGAUGAGCAUCUCAUUCUUUGCAUAUGGAAUGUUGAAGCAUGACUUUUUCGUAUAUAUGCCGAAUGGGAUUGGAACGAUCCUAGGGGUCAUACAGUUGUUGCUCUAUGCCUAUUACAGCAGGAAAUCGAGAGAGGAUUGUAGAUUACCGCUGCUAGUGUCAUGUGAAUGAUGCAUUUGGCAAAGAGACUUGUCGAACAUGGAUUAAGUUUUGAGUUGAUUGUAUGCCUAUCUACCAUUCUCCAAGUAAUAUAUGUGUUGUACCUGAACUGAGAAGUCAGCCAACUACGACCUCUGUAUGAAGACCAUUGUGUGGUGAAGUUUGACUCCUCGUUUUCAUAUAUUGGGAGUAGUCCCAGGUAAUACCCUGGAAAAGUUUAUUUUAAGUGACUUAUGGAAGACUAUAGCGAGCAUUUCUGCUGGUUCAGAAUUUUCCUGGCCAAGGCCUGAUGAUGAUGUCUGGUUUGCCUUUGUAUGUACUGGUGUGUUUUGUUCUGUGUAGCCAGUCAAGCCAGUAUUGUAUUUGCAUCUGUGAUAUUGAAUUUUCAUGCUGUUUUUUUUCGUUUUGAAGUGUCUUUCGACAUGAGAAAACAUUGCCUGUGAAUUCUACAUUUAUUUAUGUUUAAUUAUUUGCUUAA